AGAGUUUGAUCAUGGCUCAGAUUGAACGCUGGCGGUAGGCUUAACACAUGCAAGUCGUGCGAGAAAGUAUCUUCGGAUAUGAGUAGAGCGGCGGACGGGUGAGUAACGCGUAGGAAUCUACCUAGUAGAAGGGGAUAGCCCGGGGAAACUCGGAUUAAUACCGUAUACCUCCUUCGGGAGAAAGAAGGCCUCUCUUUGAAGCUUUCGCUAUUAGAUGAGCCUGCGUAAGAUUAGCUUGUUGGUGAGGUAAAGGCUCACCAAGGCGACGAUCUUUAGCGGGUCUGAGAGGACGAUCCGCCACAUUGGGACUGAGACACGGCCCAGACUCCUACGGGAGGCAGCAGUGGGGAAUAUUGGACAAUGGGCGCAAGCCUGAUCCAGCCAUACCGCGUGUGUGAAGAAGGCCCUAGGGUUGUAAAGCACUUUAAGUUGGGAAGAAAAGUUAUUGGUUAAUACCCAAUAACCGUGACAUUACCUUCAGAAUAAGGACCGGCUAAUUCCGUGCCAGCAGCCGCGGUAAUACGGAAGGUCCAAGCGUUAAUCGGAAUUACUGGGCGUAAAGCGCGCGUAGGUGGUUUAUUAAGUUGGAUGUGAAAUCCCCGGGCUCAACCUGGGAACUGCAUCCAAAACUGAUUCACUAGAGUACGAUAGAGGGAGGUAGAAUUCACAGUGUAGCGGUGGAAUGCGUAGAUAUUGUGAAGAAUACCAAUGGCGAAGGCAGCCUCCUGGAUCUGUACUGACACUAAGGUGCGAAAGCGUGGGUAGCGAACAGGAUUAGAUACCCUGGUAGUCCACGCCGUAAACGAUGUCAACUAGCUGUUGGGAAACAAUGUUUCU
rnacentral:rRNA from 1 species